rnacentral:rRNA from 1 species
UGGGGAAUAUUGCACAAUGGGGGAAACCCUGAUGCAGCCAUGCCGCGUGUGUGAAGAAGGCCUUCGGGUUGUAAAGCACUUUCAGCGAGGAGGAAAGGUUGAUGCCUAAUACGCAUCAACUGUGACGUUACUCGCAGAAGAAGCACCGGCUAACUCCGUGCCAGCAGCCGCGGUAAUACGGAGGGUGCAAGCGUUAAUCGGAAUUACUGGGCGUAAAGCGCACGCAGGCGGUUUGUUAAGUCAGAUGUGAAAUCCCCGCGCUUAACGUGGGAACUGCAUUUGAAACUGGCAAGCUAGAGUCUUGUAGAGGGGGGUAGAAUUCCAGGUGUAGCGGUGAAAUGCGUAGAGAUCUGGAGGAAUACCGGUGGCGAAGGCAAUCCCCUGGACCUGUACUGACGCUCAUGCACGAAAGCGUGGGGAGCAAACA